UACAGAGGUCUCAAGCGUUGUUCGGAUUCAUUGGGCGUAAAGGGUGUGUAGGUGGCGCCGUAAGUCGGGUGUGAAAUUUCGGAGCUUAACUCCGAAACUGCAUUCGAUACUGCGGUGCUUGAGGACUGGAGAGGAGACUGGAAUUUACGGUGUAGCAGUGAAAUGCGCAGAUAUCAGGAAGAACACCUAUGGCGAAGGCAGCUCUCUGGGACGGUACUGACGCUGAGACGCGAAAGCGUGGGGAGCGAACAGG
rnacentral:rRNA from 1 species